CCAGACUCCUACGGGGGCAGCAGUAGGGAAUCUUCGGCAAUGGGGGGAACCCUGACCGAGCAACGCCGCGUGAGUGAAGAAGGUUUUCGGAUCGUAAAGCUCUGUUGUUAAGGAAGAACGAGUGUGAGAAUGGAAAGUUCAUACUGUGACGGUACUUAACCAGAAAGGGACGGCUAACUACGUGCCAGCAGCCGCGGUAAUACGUAGGUCCCGAGCGUUGUCCGGAUUUAUUGGGCGUAAAGCGAGCGCAGGCGGUUAGAUAAGUCUGAAGUUAAAGGCAGUGGCUCAACCAUUGUAGGCUUUGGAAACUGUUUAACUUGAGUGCAGAAGGGGAGAGUGGAAUUCCAUGUGUAGCGGUGAAAUGCGUAGAUAUAUGGAGGAACACCGGUGGCGAAAGCGGCUCUCUGGUCUGUAACUGACGCUGAGGCUCGAAAGCGUGGGGAGCGAACAGGAUUAGAUACCCUGGUAGUCCACGCCGUAAACGAUGAGUGCUAGGUGUUAGGUCCUUUCCGGGACUUAGUGCCGCAGCUAACGCAUUAAGCACUCCGCCUGGGGAGUACGACCGCAAGGUUGAAACUCAAAGGAAUUGACGGGGGCCCGCACAAG
rnacentral:rRNA from 1 species